rnacentral:lncRNA from 1 species
ACCCACCUUUCCCUAAUUCUCCCAUCUUUCUUGGCUUGCUUUCACUCCUUUGCUUCCUCUACUGCCUCCUCCCUUCCAUGUGGCACAGGAGAUGGGGAGCAGGUGUUGCAGUCAGCCCAUAAGAGUUCCUCUCUGCUGCUUCUUCCGCUAAACACUUUUCAGAUAUGUGCAAAGGACGGAAAAGUAAUAAAUCUAUGCUCAUGCAGCAGGAGAGGUUUCUGGAGCCAGACCAGCAGUGAUAAACACCUAAUGAGAUGGAGAUAACAUUGGCUGCUGGAGGCUUGACCAUCAUCUCAGCAAUGCAUAGAUAACUGCGGAAGCCAGUGUGACAGUAAAUUAACAGGAUGGUAAUACUUGAAGUUGCCUUUGAAAGGAAUGUGUGGUAAUUGACUUUGUGUUGGCAAGAAGUAUGGGCAUUCCAUCCUACUAUAGCUUCUGUGACACGUUGAGAUCCUUAUCUUUUCUGAAAUUAGUGUCACAAGCUAGCUUUUUUUUUUUUUUUAAUUUAAAAAACAAAGGAACACCUGUUUAAGGGAGACUUGACUUUUUUAAUCAUCUCCACUGACAUACAGUGCAUGCCCAUACCCAAAGAUCAUGUGUUAUUGACUAUGUGCAUGUUAAAUAACUCCUGUUUGUCUCAGUCCUUCCCCUAUGUUGAGCAUGGAAACUGUUUUUGGUUGAUAGAAUAGAUUUAUAUGGUAAUUAAAAAUGUUAUAAGUGUACUCUCAUUUCCUAUUUCUUAGCUUUCUCAUGUCUAGUAACAAAAGGCAUGUCUGAAACAGGCAAAGGGCAAGGAAGUUUUUGUUUUUUACUGUGAAAGAUGAAACUGGGAGAGCUCGUAUGCAACACAGCUGUUGACCUGUCCAGCACAGAAAGGUCAGAUCUGUGCAGAAGAAGGCUCUGCUAGUAAACAGAGCCAAAUACUAAGCCUGGACUUUCAAGAGGGAAGUACCUCUGACUUUUUUUUUUUUUCCUGGCAAGAUUUUCAGCAGACAGGAAAAAAAAAUAAUAAAAAAUUACCUGGCAAACCA